rnacentral:rRNA from 1 species
AUUGAACGCUGGCGGAAUGCUUUACACAUGCAAGUCGAACGGCAGCACGGGGGCAGCCCUGGUGGCGAGUGGCGAACGGGUGAGUAAUACAUCGGAACGUGCCCGGUCGUGGGGGAUAACUUAGCGAAAGUUACGCUAAUACCGCAUACGAUCUGAGGAUGAAAGCGGGGGACCUUCGGGCCUCGCGCGAUCGGAGCGGCCGAUGUCAGAUUAGGUAGUUGGUGGGGUAAAGGCCUACCAAGCCGACGAUCUGUAGCUGGUCUGAGAGGACGACCAGCCACACUGGGACUGAGACACGGCCCAGACUCCUACGGGAGGCAGCAGUGGGGAAUUUUGGACAAUGGGCGCAAGCCUGAUCCAGCCAUUCCGCGUGCAGGACGAAGGCCUUCGGGUUGUAAACUGCUUUUGUACGGAACGAAAAGGCUCUGGCUAAUACCUGGGGCUCAUGACGGUACCGUAAGAAUAAGCACCGGCUAACUACGUG